GAUGAACGCUAGCGACAGGCUUAACACAUGCAAGUCGAGGGGCAGCGGGGAGCAAGCUUGCUUGCUCUGCCGGCGACCGGCGCACGGGUGAGUAACACGUAUGCAACCUGCCCUCCGCAGGGGGAUAACCCGGAGAAAUCCGGACUAAUACCGCGUGGUACACCAGUGGGGCAUCCCACGGGUGUUAAAAGGAAGCGAUUCCGGCGGAGGAUGGGCAUGCGGCGCAUUAGCUUGUUGGCGGGGUAACGGCCCACCAAGGCGACGAUGCGUAGGGGUUCUGAGAGGAAGGUCCCCCACACUGGUACUGAGACACGGACCAG
rnacentral:rRNA from 1 species